rnacentral:rRNA from 1 species
UGGGGAAUAUUGCACAAUGGGCGCAAGCCUGAUGCAGCCAUGCCGCGUGUGUGAAGAAGGCCUUCGGGUUGUAAAGCACUUUCAGCGAGGAGGAAGGUGGUGAACUUAAUACGUUCAUCAAUUGACGUUACUCGCAGAAGAAGCACCGGCUAACUCCGUGCCAGCAGCCGCGGUAAUACGGAGGGUGCAAGCGUUAAUCGGAAUUACUGGGCGUAAAGCGCACGCAGGCGGUUUGUUAAGUCAGAUGUGAAAUCCCCGGGCUCAACCUGGGAACUGCAUUUGAAACUGGCAAGCUAGAGUCUCGUAGAGGGGGGUAGAAUUCCAGGUGUAGCGGUGAAAUGCGUAGAGAUCUGGAGGAAUACCGGUGGCGAAGGCGGCCCCCUGGACGAAGACUGACGCUCAGGUGCGAAAGCGCGGGGAGCAAACAGGAUUAGAUACCCUGGUAGUCCACGCUGUAAACGAUGUCGAUUUUGGAGGUUGUGCCCUUGAGGCGUGGCUUCCGGAGCUAACGCGUUAAAUCGACCGCCU